GACGAACGCUGGCGGCGUGCUUAACACAUGCAAGUCGAACGAUGAAGCUAGAGCUUGCUCUGGUGAAUUAGUGGCGAACGGGUGAGUAACACGUGAGUAACCUGCCCCGAACUCUGGGAUAACUGCUGGAAACGGUAGCUAAUACUGGAUACGACCUACGAAGGCAUCUUCUGUAGGUGGAAAGAAUUUCGGUUCGGGAUGGACUCGCGGCCUAUCAGCUUGUUGGUGAGGUAACGGCUCACCAAGGCGACGACGGGUAGCCGGCCUGAGAGGGUGACCGGCCACACUGGGACUGGGACACGGCCCAGACUCCUACGGGAGGCAGCAGUGGGGAAUAUUGCACAAUGGGCGCAAGCCUGAUGCAGCAACGCCGCGUGAGGGAUGACGGCCUUCGGGUUGUAAACCUCUUUUAGUAGGGAGGAAGCGAAAGUGACGGUACCUGCAGAAAAAGCACCGGCUAACUACGUGCCAGCAGCCGCCGUAA
rnacentral:rRNA from 1 species